rnacentral:rRNA from 1 species
AUUGAACGCUGGCGGCAGGCCUAACACAUGCAAGUCGAGCGGAUGAAGGGAGCUUGCUCCUGGAUUCAGCGGCGGACGGGUGAGUAAUGCCUAGGAAUCUGCCUGCUAGUGGGGGAUAACGUCCGGAAACGGGCGCUAAUACCGCAUACGUCCUGAGCGAGAAAGUGGGGGAUCUUCGGACAUCACGCUAUCAGAUGAGCCUAGGUCGGAUUGGCUAGUUGGUGGGGUAAAGGCCUACCAAGGCGACGAUCCGUAACUGGUCUGAGAGGAUGAUCAGUCACACUGGAACUGAGACACGGUCCAGACUCCUACGGGAGGGAGCAGUGGGGAAUAUUGGGCAAUGGGCGAAAGCCUGAUCCAGCCAUGCCGCGUGUGUGAAGAAGGUGUUCGGAUUGUAAAGCACUUUGAGUUGGGAGGAAGGGCAGUAAGUUGAUACCUUGCUGUUUUGACGGUACCAACAGAAUAAGCACCGGCUAACUUCGUG